GCCGAAGUGGCGGAACUGGCAUACGCGUCGGUCUCAAAAACCGAUCCUCUCACGAGGUUGUGGGUUCGACUCCCACCUUCGGCA
rfam:Omnitrophica bacterium RIFCSPHIGHO2_02_FTLL_63_14 rifcsphigho2_02_scaffold_13802, whole genome shotgun sequence.